ensembl:rRNA 5S_rRNA 5S ribosomal RNA
ACAGCCAUACCACCCUGAAGGUGCCCGAUCUCAUCUGAUCUCAGAAGCUAAGCAGGGUCGGGCCUGGUUUGUACUUGGACGGGAGAAACCUAUUAUAAGGCUGAC